rnacentral:misc_RNA from 1 species
AAGUCGUAACAAGGUUUCCGUAGGUGAACCUGCGGAAGGAUCAUUAUAAAAUUUUCAUAUAUUAUUUAUUUAAUAUAUAAAAUUAUAUACAAAUGUAUUCAAAACCCACACACUUUAUAACCAAAAAAAAAAUAUAUAUUUUAAUAUAUAUAUAAAAAAACAACUUUCAACAACGGAUCUCUUGGCUCUC